GCCCCCGUAGACCAACCGGCAGAGUCGGCGAGCUCAAACCUCGCGCAGCGCGGGUUCGAAUCCCGCCGGGGACA
rnacentral:tRNA from 1 species